GCUGUCCCCCGGAGGCGUCUGGGUGUGCGGAGCGCGCGCGCGCGGCUCGGAGGCGCACCUGUGAGGUGUCCCGGGAGGAGAGGGAGGGUGGGUGCGCGGGGCCCGCGGCCUGGGGCGCCUCAGCCCCUCACUUGGAAGCGCCCUGCGUCCCAGCAGCGCCAGGCGAGCAUCGUACUCAGGUGAUGAGGGACCCUUCGCGCACCCAGCGCAGAACGCCGCUGCCGCUGGACGCCUCCAUUGUUUGACCACAACAAGGGCCGGAGUCUCACCCAGAGAUGGCUAAAGUCUGACUUCCAGGCCCUGUCUGCAGACAUAACAAGUA